AUUGAACGCUAGCGGCAGGCCUAACACAUGCAAGUCGAGCGGAUGAAGGGAGCUUGCUCCUGGAUUCAGCGGCGGACGGGUGAGUAAUGCCUAGGAAUCUGCCUGGUAGUGGGGGAUAACGUCCGGAAACGGGCGCUAAUACCGCAUACGUCCUGAGGGAGAAAGUGGGGGAUCUUCGGACCUCACGCUAUCAGAUGAGCCUAGGUCGGAUUAGCUAGUUGGUGGGGUAAAGGCCUACCAAGGCGACGAUCCGUAACUGGUCUGAGAGGAUGAUCAGUCACACUGGAACUGAGACACGGUCCAGACUCCUACGGGAGGCAGCAGUGGGGAAUAUUGGACAAUGGGCGAAAGCCUGAUCCAGCCAUGCCGCGUGUGUGAAGAAGGUCUUCGGAUUGUAAAGCACUUUAAGUUGGGAGGAAGGGCAGUAAGUUAAUACCUUGCUGUUUUGACGUUACCAACAGAAUAAGCGCCGGCUAACUUCGUG
rnacentral:rRNA from 1 species